rnacentral:rRNA from 1 species
CCUACGGGUGGCUGCAGUGGGGAAUAUUGGACAAUGGGCGAAAGCCUGAUCCAGCCAUGCCGCGUGUGUGAAGAAGGCCUUCGGGUUGUAAAGCACUUUCAGUGGGGAAGAAAGCCUUGGGGCUAAUACCCUCGAGGAAGGACAUCACCCACAGAAGAAGCACCGGCUAACUCCGUGCCAGCAGCCGCGGUAAUACGGAGGGUGCGAGCGUUAAUCGGAAUUACUGGGCGUAAAGCGCGCGUAGGCGGUCUGAUAAGCCGGUUGUGAAAGCCCCGGGCUCAACCUGGGAACGGCAUCCGGAACUGUCAGGCUAGAGUGCAGGAGAGGAAGGUAGAAUUCCCGGUGUAGCGGUGAAAUGCGUAGAGAUCGGGAGGAAUACCAGUGGCGAAGGCGGCCUUCUGGACUGACACUGACGCUGAGGUGCGAAAGCGUGGGUAGCAAACAGGAUUAGAUACCCCAGUGUC